AUUGAACGCUGGCGGCAUGCCUUACACAUGCAAGUCGAACGGUAACGGGCCUUCGGGUGCCGACGAGUGGCGCGCGGGUGAGUAAUACAUCGGAACGUGCCCGAUCGUGGGGGAUAACGAGGCGAAAGCUUUGCUAAUACCGCAUACGAUCUACGGAUGAAAGCAGGGGACCGCAAGGCCUUGCGCGGACGGAGCGGCCGAUGGCAGAUUAGGUAGUUGGUGGGGUAAAAGCUUACCAAGCCGACGAUCUGUAGCUGGUCUGAGAGGAUGAUCAGCCACACUGGGACUGAGACACGGCCCAGACUCCUACGGGAGGCAGCAGUGGGGAAUUUUGGACAAUGGGCGCAAGCCUGAUCCAGCCAUGCCGCGUGCAGGAUGAAGGCCUUCGGGUUGUAAACUGCUUUUGUACGGAACGAAAAGCCUUCUUUUAAUACAGGAGGGUCAUGACGGUACCGUAAGAAUAAGCACCGGCUAACUACGUG
rnacentral:rRNA from 1 species